UUCUGGGUUCGAACCUCAUUGAAGUGAUUUUCUUUUUUAAAAAUUUUAAGCAUGCACUAUCCUUAAAUCCUAGGUCCGCCACUGCUCCAUAUCAUUAAGACUAUCUGUGAGUAGCUUUCACUGUAAGCAUGGUAUCUUACUUACUGGGUGAUGGUGGAAAUGAAAGGGAAAGAUAAGGGUAUUGAAGGAGGGGUAAAAUAAGGUUAGGGUGAUGAGGUAGCGCACCGCAUGGCGUCCACUUCACUCAAAUGCCCGGCCAGUUAUGAUUUUAAUUGUUGUCAUGGUGGACUUCUUAGAGUAAUUUUGUUCGCAGAGUAUACUGGAGGUUAAAUGUAAUCAAUAUUUGAAAGUAAGGGAUUAUCUGGAUUACUUUUACUAUAUUAUCAAAAACUAAGAUAAGUGAUUUCAAAUGUACUGCACUUUUGAAAUGCCUAGAUGUGACUUAGAAUCUAAUGUAACCAUAUGUCAAAAAAGGAGAGAUAAUAAGUCAUAGCUUCAAAGAUCAAAUUUUGUGCUGAAAAUACAAGCCAGCUUCAUUAUUACAUUGGGAUCUUCUAGGUUGUUAAUCUUACGUUUUUACAUUGGAUAGUUAGAACAGCAGUAUGCCUUCAGCAGAUGUGCAGAGGCCCCUUUCAAGAGUUUUGAUUACACUUGCAGUUCGUUUAGAUGUUUAUUUCGAGUGUUUGGUGUAUGUUUGCGUAAACUCCUGGAUGAUCAAUCUCAAGAUAGCUGCUGUUCCUGAACUUGAUUUUUAUGCUUCUUGUAUAUAUUUUGCUCUUGUUGGAUUCUGAAUAUGAGCUUGGUGUUACAGCGUUUGCAGCCAUUAUAUAUACAAUAAGAUUCUGAACUUAUUUCCUUGUAUCCCUAAGAUGAAAAGUUAUUGUUCCUUUCAGCAUUCAGUGGCUUACUCUACAGCUUUAUGUUCAUCCUUGUUUGUACAUCCUCUUGCCAUGUUACAUCAGAACGAUGAAUUCAUAAAAUAUAAUUAUUUGUAUCAUGUAGUUCAUAUAUAUAGAACUCUUAAUGUUGAAAACACAUGAGACUCUUGAUGUUUAUGCCUCUUUUAAAUGAACCUUACAAUUUUCCUCAAUAAAUGCCAUUUUGCUUCUGCUUAGUGUAGAGAGUAGUAUAUGUUACUGAUUACUCAGAGAGCUUUGCUGUGUUUUUGGCUUUUGCCAAAACCACUCAGUAAGUUGAACAAAGUGGUGGUUUUCACCAAACAGAAAGCUGAAGAUACUAAUGCCAUUUUGGAGUAAUUCUCCCACAUUUUCAUCUAAGAGAAAAGUUGAGCAAAAGUAGUAGUAAGACCACCCAUGGCCUAGGCUGGUGACCUCCAUUGCACAUUGGAGGGAUGUCAGCCUAAGGUCGUCCCAAGUGGUUGAGCCUACGGCAUAAUUUGUGGUAGCGAUUUCUUGUCAGUUAAGAAAUUGAUUAGAGCAUUGUAUCUCUGGCUACAGAGUUCACAGCAGAAGCCACUAGCUUAGAAUUCAUGCCUAGUCCAGAUGCACACUCAAUCAAAUAGAAAUAGCUAGCUACUCCAAUACUCCACCAGCACAUGCACUGGGCAGACCCUAAUGUCUUGUGGCUCAGUAAAGCCAACUGCCAGUCCUCUGAGCCAUCCAACUAGCUAUUUGUCUUUAAAUGAUAACUCCUGUCUAUAUGAUUUUGUAUGCUUCCAUCCUUCCUGGGAAAAGAAGAAUUUUCCUUUGUAUCCCUAAGAUGAAAAAAUAUUCUUCCUUUCAGCAUUCAGUGGCUAUGUUCAUCCAUGUUUAAACAUCCUCUCUUCAUGUUAUUGUGCAUGAGAACGAUGAAUUCAUGAAAUUUAAUAUUUGUAUCAUGUGGUUCAUAUUUAUAGAACUAUUAAUGUUGCGAAUCACAUGAGACUCUUGAUGUUUAUGCCUCUCUAAAUGAACCUUACAAUUAUCCUCAACAGGACCCAUUUGCUAUUGCUUCGUUUACCGAGUUGUAUAUGUUACUGACUAAUCGGAGAACUUAGUAGCAAUAUUUUCGGCUUUUGAAAAACCAUUCAUUAGGUUAAGCAGAGUGGCUUUCUUAUCCAAACAGAAAGCUAAAGAGAGUAAUGCAAUUAUGAGUAAUCCUUCCACAUUGGCAUCUAAGAGAUGCAAACGCCGUCAGUAUUAAUAGUAGGCUGACUAACUGGAAAACAUACUUGAACGGGGUCAACAGGCGAUCAAUAGACUCAUGGCCUAGGCUUGCGACCUCCAUUGCACUUUGGAGGACUGCCAGCAUAAGGUUAGCCCAAGUGGUCAAGCCUAUGUCAUAAUUUGCCACAGGCCUGCUUUCACGCAGCCCCUACCCAAAUCUAAACCUAAAAAUUCUUGUCCAUUAUAAAAUUGAUGAGACAAAAGAGACCCUGGUUGCAAAAGUUACAGCAAAAAAGUUUUUUGUGCCUGUUCGACUUUAGUUUAGCCUAUUUGCUACCCACUAGCUCUAAAGAAAUUGCUUUACUAAAGGCAGGACAACUAUUAAAAUGUCAUUCGCAAUAAAUGAUGAUAAAGGCUGCUUUGGUUUCAUCAAGAUUAUCAAGAGAACUGGUAAUUUCAAGAAGCAAACUGUUCCACAGAUCGCAAGAUACGGGAAUUAUAAAGCUCUUUUUAGCUAAUUGAACUCAGGUUCUCAACCCCAAACAAGGCCAGAGCUAGAA
rnacentral:lncRNA from 1 species